CUUUAUUUAUCCAGAGUCGUGAUGUGCGAUACCACUUAAUUCCUAUUCGAUCCGAUACCAAGUAAUACCCAGGCUGGUAUUGCCAAUACCGAUACCAAUACUAAUAC